UGCACCUCAUUAGAGCUACCUUCCCAUAGCUAAUGUAGUGCUGUAGAAAAUUGAAUAAAGCUAUAAUAUGCAAUGACCUAUUUCUGACUUGCCAGCAGAACUUUCCUGUAUAUUCGUGACACUUCAGUUUAAUGCAUGUCCCAUUUUUUUUAAUUGUUCACUAAAUCUUCAGAACCGCAGCUGCAUGGUACCACUUCUUAAACUGGGAUAUCCUUAAACUGAGUUGUCGGAUUUUGCUACAAAAUUUCUCUUUCCGUUGCUGCACUGAAAAAACCUGCUUUGACAGUUAACAUUGUUUUUGCAGUGUGCAGACUAGACAAUCUAUUCUGCAGAGCAGGCUGGAAGCCGUACAUUGAGGAUGUACUGCUGAGCGCUUGGUGGAAGUCAGUGCAAGAGAGAAACAAAAAUACUUCCUGAAUCCAGAGGCGCCAAUUUUCGUGAGUGCACUCAGCGAGACAGGUCCACAUCCUGUGGACCUUUAUCCCGCGUCCAACUUAAAUCCAUGGGCACCGGUGUUCCACGGGUAAAAUGUAGCAUCUGUUGGUGUAAAAAGAAUUUUGGAUUCUCCACCCACUCUGAAGCAGAGAGAAUGUGGAUGAAUCUCUACGUCAUGAGGGAUUUUUGCCACCUUCUCUAGUGCGCAUGUGAAAGGAAAGUACUGACAAAGGAUGUUAAUCCUGAACACAUACGAACUUCCACAGGCCACGAUACCACAAAAUAGUAGUGAAUUAAGUAGUCCAUGGCGCACUGUUACUAGCAUCCAUGUGUAUGCUGUAGUGACAUUUUGACAUCAGAAAUGUUGUUGAACUCAAUUCACGGCAGAUGUUGUUUAUUGUUGUCCCAUCUCAGUCGAGUACAUAUCCAUAACCACACCCAGGAAUUCUUGUAGCUCAAUGUGUGCAACAUUUUUCAAAUUGUUUUGCUUGCAUGUAUUUGCUUACAUGUGGAUUUGUUAAUAUUUUAUAAAA